CCUACGGGAGGCAGCAGUGGGGAAUAUUGGGCAAUGGGCGCAAGCCUGACCCAGCAACGCCGCGUGAAGGAAGAAGGCUUUCGGGUUGUAAACUUCUUUUGUCAGGGACGAAGCAAGUGACGGUACCUGACGAAUAAGCCACGGCUAACUACGUGCCAGCAGCCGCGGUAAUACGUGGGUGGCAAGCGUUAUCCGGAUUUACUGGGUGUAAAGGGCGUGUAGGCGGGACUGCAAGUCAGAUGUGAGAACCACGGGCUCAACCUGUGGCCUGCAUUUGAAACUGUAGGUCUGGAGUACUGGAGAGGCAGACGGAAUUCCUAGUGUAGCGGUGAAAUGCGUAGAUAUUAGGAGGAACACCAGUGGCGAAGGCGGUCUGCUGGACAGCAACUGAAGCUGCGGCGCGAAAGCGUGUGGAGCAAACAGGAUUAGAUACCCUAGUAGUC
rnacentral:rRNA from 1 species